UACAGAGGUCUCAAGCGUUGUUCGGAUUCAUUGGGCGUAAAGGGUGCGUAGGCGGCGCGGUAAGUCGGGUGGGAAAUCUCGGAGCUUAACUCCGAAACUGCAUUCGAUACUGCCGUGCUUGAGGACUGGAGAGGAGACUGGAAUUUACGGUGUAGCGGUGAAAUGCGUAGAUAUCGUAAGGAAGACCAGUGGCGAAGGCGGGUCUCUGGACAGUUCCUGACGCUGAGGCACGAAGGUCAGGGGAGCAAACGGG
rnacentral:rRNA from 1 species